UCCGAUUUGUCACCGUGUCUCCACGGCUUUUCCCUACAUGUCAAGCCCCGGUAAGGUUCUUCGCGUCGCGUCGAAUUAAGCAACAUGCUCCGCCGCUUGUGCGGGCCCCCGUCAAUUCCUUUGAGUUUUAGCCUUGCGGCCGUACUCCCCAGGCGGGGCGCUUAAUGCGUUAGCUGCGGCACGGAAGGAGUCGAUGACCUCCCACACCUAGCGCCCAUCGUUUACGGCGUGGACUAC
rnacentral:misc_RNA from 1 species